CUUUUCAUUUAUAGAAAUAAAAGGUGCACUGCUGGUGAUAUCUGAGUAAAUCUGAUUAAUGACUGUAGCAGGAUAUGCAGUGGCGGAGUCAAUGAGGUAAACCCAGAAGGAGAAAGAGAAAUUCCCCCCUUUUACUUCAAUCACCAUUCGAAAAUCUUUAAGCAAAGUGUAAUCUUUACCAUUUAUGACAUUAUCAUCCAUGAUUCCCAUUUGGGAUUCUUGAUCACA
rnacentral:misc_RNA from 1 species